rnacentral:lncRNA from 1 species
CACCGCUAUUCCCAGACCCUCUGAGAAUUCUCUGGUUAUACUCACUUCUCAUCCCACAGCAUGAGAUUCUCGGCUCUCCUCUUCCUGGCAGCUCUGGCUGGAGCCCUGGUCAAUGCUGAAGGUGCCUCCUCUGAUCCCACCCUGGGGGCUGCAGCCGCUGAACCGGAAGCGACUACAUCUGCAGCAAAACCUGCUUCUCCCCAAGAGCCAGCCCAGGAGCCACAUGGUGCCGCCCCAAGUACAGAAGAGCUGAACCCACUGAGACAUGGCUUAGAAGAAGCAAAAAAAGCAGUGCAUAAAGGAGUUCAGCUUGGAAAACGUCUUUAUAAGGGUGGAGCUGACGUGGGACAAAAUCUGAAAAACUUGCGUGCAAAACUCAAUGUAGUUGGAGUCUGAGAAGUUGAAAAGAACGGGGUCCCUGGACGCAGAGCCUUAAACAUGCUUGCAGCCCAGCACAAUUAAACAGAAGCAUCCAAUUCACCGUGUGUCUGUUCUCUGUGGGGUGGGUCCUGGAGGAGAUGGAGAGCAAAGCCCUACCCAGAAGGCCAAGAGGCCCUGGGUGUCCUGACCCAGAACCUCAGCCAGUCAC